AUGAUCCAGGCAUGCGAGACAGACACAGAUUGCCAGUUGGGCAGGGGCUUACCUCGCACUGGGAGAAGAGGCUGGCCUCGGCGGCCUCCCAGGCGGCGCGCCAGCUCGCGGCGUCGCGGAAGGCGAGGACGGGGGGCUCGGUGGAGGCGGAGGAGGAAGAGGAAGGGACCGGCGCGCGAAGCAGAGGGAGGGGCGGGUCGAAGGGCACCACGGUGGCCGCCGGGGAGUAGUCCUCCGAAACCUCGCCGCCGCCGCCCGGCAGGAGUUAUUAUUGGACUAAGUUGUGGUACUGGGGUUCUAUUUAUUGCGUUAAUUUCAACCUUGUUGGUCCGAAGGUGGAACCAAGGUAUUAAAAGUAGAGUUCGAAAGGCGCACUUCCGCAGAAACAAAGGUCUUUUCUUGGAACAACUGAUCUCAUCGGAUGAAAGUGCCAUGCAUAGCACUGAAAUAUUUUCUUUGGAUGGGUUAGAAAAGGCAACCGGCAAUUUUGACUCCACACGCAUUCUAGGUCUUGGAGAGCAUGGUACCGUUUACAAGGGGAUUUUAUUAGAUAGGCGCGUGGUGGCCAUAAAGAAGUCCAAAUUGGUUGAUCAAAUAGAGAUUGAUCAAUUCAUUAACGAGCUUGCCAUUAUGUCACAAAUCAAUCAUUGAAAUGUGGUAAAACUUUUUGGAUGCUGCCUCGAGUCAGAGGUACCUUUGCUUGUGUACGAGUUCAUAUCCAACGGCGCAUUGUCUGAAAUCCUCCAUGGUGACAACCUCAGUUCCAGGAUCUCUUUAACAUGGGACGAUCGUAUUAUAAUUGCUAGUGAGGCUUCAAGUGCUCUUGCUUACCUGCAUUCCGCUGCUUCUAUACCAAUCUUUCACAGAGACGUGAAAUCUGCCAAUAUACUCUUGACUCAUAACUUUAGUGCGAAGGUUGCAGACUUCGGAGCGUCAAGAUCCAUCUCCAUUGAUGAAACUCGUGUAGUCACAGCAGUGCAAGGUACAUUUGGAUACCUGGAUCCCGAGUAUUACCACACAGGCCAACUAACUGAAAAGAGUGAUGUUUAUAGUUUUGGUGUGAUAAUUGUCGAGCCCCUUACAAGGAAAAAGUCGAUCUUUCUCGAUUCCCAUAGUGAAAAUAAAAACCUAUGCCAUUACUUUGUUCAAAGGCAACAAGAUAACACCAUCAAGCAGAUCGUCGAUGUUCAAGUUCUUGAGGAAGGUACGGAAAGACAGAUCGACGAGAUGGCCUCCCUUGCGAUGGCAUGCUUAAAGCAUAGAGGAGAGGAGAGGCCUACCAUGAAAGAAGUGGAGCCAAGACUGCAGGCCAUGAGAGGGAAGAUGGUGAUGAAGAGAAAUCAUGAGUUAGAAAGGCAUGGUGAAGCUGUGACAUUGUUACCUUCAAAUUAUUCCAACUAUUUCAGCACUAGUUUUGGGGCUGCUAAUUCAUCAAAUCAAUGUGUCACUCGAUGUUGUACAAUGGAGCGAGAACUAGUUUCUUGGACAGACCUACCUCGCUAA
rnacentral:rRNA from 1 species